GAUGAAGAACGCAGUGAAAUGCGAUAAGUAGUGUGAAUUGCAGAAUUCAGUGAAUCAUCGAAUCUUUGAACGCACAUUGCGCCCCUUGGUAUUCCAUGGGGCAUGCCUGUUCGAGCGUCAUUUGUACCUUCAAGCUCUGCUUGGUGUUGGGUGUUUGUCUCGCCUCUGCGCGUAGACUCGCCUCAAAACAAUUGGCAGCCGGCGUAUUGAUUUCGGAGCGCAGUACAUCUCGCGCUUUGCACUCAUAACGACGACGUCCAAAAGUACAUUUUUACACUCUUGACCUCGGAUCAGGUAGGGAUACCCGCUGAACUUAAGCAUAUCAAUAAGCGGAGGA
rnacentral:misc_RNA from 1 species